AGACUUUGAUCCUGGCUCAGAAUGAACGCUGGCGGCGUGCUUAACACAUGCAAGUCGCACGAGAACGCUUCAGCUUGCUGAAGCUAGUAAAGUGGCGCACGGGUGAGUAACGCGUGGGUAAUCUACCUCCAAAUUGGGGAUAACAUUGCGAAAGCGAUGCUAAUACCGAAUGAUAUCUCAAAAACCUCGGUUUUUGAGAUCAAAGGUGGCCGCUCCAUGGAAGCUACUGUUAGGAGAUGAGCCCGCGUACCAUUAGCUUGUUGGUAGGGUAAUGGCCUACCAAGGCAACGAUGGUUAGCUGGUCUGAGAGGAUGAUCAGCCACACUGGAACUGACACACGGUCCAGACUCCUACGGGAGGCAGCAGUGAGGAAUUUUGCGCAAUGGGGGAAACCCUGACGCAGCAACGCCCGCGUGAGUGAUGAAAGCCUUCGGGUCGUAAAGCUCUGUCAAGUGGGAAGAACCUGCCCUGUGCUAAUAUCACCGGGCACUGACGGUACCACUGAANGAAGCACCGGCUAACUCCGUGCCAACAACCCGCGGUAACACNG
rnacentral:rRNA from 1 species